rnacentral:ncRNA from 1 species
GUAAAUGCAAUGAAGGUGUUCAGUAGAAUCUUAGUUUCUGCCAGAGAUCGGAAGUCACCGGCUGAAAGCUUCCCCAGUUCAACUAAGAUAUCGAAUUUCCCACCGGAGCAGCUUUUUUGAAGUUUUGUUUCCGACUUGACGGCUGGGCAGAAUGGUAGGAAAAGACGGAGUGACACGUUAUGUCUGUGAAGUGUCUAUAGAAUGUGCAGGUGCAAUUGUGUGUAACUGGCACAGGAAACAGGCGUAUUGUCUGUUUGAUAUAGGAAUUUGGGUGGUACCGCGGUUUAUUCGUCCCUUGC